UGGGGAAUAUUGGACAAUGGGCGAAAGCCUGAUCCAGCAACGCCGCGUGUGUGAAGAAGGCCUUAGGGUUGUAAAGCACUUUUAGUUGGGAGGAAAUGCCCCGCAAGGGGAGCUGACGUUACCAACAGAAAAAGCACCGGCUAACUUCGUGCCAGCAGCCGCGGUAAUACGAAGGGUGCAAGCGUUAAUCGGAAUUACUGGGCGUAAAGAGCACGUAGGCGGAUAAGAAAGUUGAUUGUGAAAUCCCUGGGCUUAACCUGGGAACUGCAUUCAAGACUCCUUGUCUAGAGUAUGGUAGAGGAGAGUGGAAUUUCCGGUGUAGCGGUGAAAUGCGUAGAUAUCGGAAGGAACAUCAGUGGCGAAGGCGACUCUCUGGACCAAUACUGACGCUGAGGUGCGA
rnacentral:rRNA from 1 species